rnacentral:snoRNA from 1 species
CAUCUCCUAUCAGUCAGGGAUGAAGCAAUCCCUUGUUCAUCCCCAGCUUGGCUUUUGAUCUAUGCCUGGUUCACACCUUGGACACAUGG